rnacentral:rRNA from 1 species
UACGGGGGGGGGCAAGCGUUGUUCGGAAUUACUGGGCGUAAAGGGCUCGUAGGCGGCCAACUAAGUCCGACGUGAAAUCCCCAGGCUUAACCUGGGAACUGCGUCGGAUACUGGAUGGCUUGAAUCCGGGAGAGGGAUGCGGAAUUCCAGGUGUAGCGGUGAAAUGCGUAGAUAUCUGGAGGAACACCGGUGGCGGAAGGCG